rnacentral:rRNA from 1 species
GAUGAACGCUGGCGGCGUGCCUAAUACAUGCAAGUCGAGCGAACAGAUGAGGAGCUUGCUCCUCUGACGUUAGCGGCGGACGGGUGAGUAACACGUGGAUAACCUACCUAUAAGACUGGGAUAACUUCGGGAAACCGGAGCUAAUACCGGAUAAUAUAUUGAACCGCAUGGUUCAAUAGUGAAAGACGGUUUUGCUGUCACUUAUAGAUGGAUCCGCGCCGCAUUAGCUAGUUGGUAAGGUAACGGCUUACCAAGGCAACGAUGCGUAGCCGACCUGAGAGGGUGAUCGGCCACACUGGAACUGGGACACGGUCCAGGCUCCUACGGGAGGCAGCAGUAGGGAAUCUUCCGCAAUGGGCGAAAGCCUGACGGAGCAACGCCGCGUGAGUGAUGAAGGUCUUCGGAUCGUAAAACUCUGUUAUUAGGGAAGAACAGAUGUGUAAGUAACUAUGCACGUCUUGACGGUACCUAAUCAGAAAGCCACGGCUAACUACGUG